AUUCCUACGGGAGGCAGCAGUGGGGAAUAUUGGACAAUGGGCGAAAGCCUGAUCCAGCAACGCCGCGUGAGGGAUGACGGCCUUCGGGUUGUAAACCUCUUUCAGCAGGGACGAAGCGCAAGUGACGGUACCCUACGAGGAAGCCCCGGCUAACUCCGUGCCAGCAGCCGCGGUAAUACGGGGGCAAGCSYUGYUCGGAUACUGGGCGUAAGGGCGCGCAGGCGGCCCGGCAAGUCCUUCGUGAAAUCCCACAGCUCAACUGUGGAAUUGCGUGGGAUACUGCCAGGCUUGAGUCCGGGAGAGGAGAGUGGAAUUCCCAGUGUAGCGGUGAAUGCGUAGAUAUUGGGAGGAACACCGGUGGCGAAGGCGGCUCUCUGGGCUGUGUCUGACGCUGAGAUGCGAAAGUGUGUGGGAGCAAACGGGAUUAGAUACCCCGUAGCCACACCUAAACGAUGAGCACUAGGUGUGGGUGGGAAUCCAUCCGUGCCGUAGCUAACGCGUUAAGUGCUCCGCUGGGGACUAUGAGCGCAAGCUUAAAACUCAAAGGAAUUGACGGGGGCCCGCACAAGCAGCGGAGCGUGCGGUUCAAUUCGAUGCGACACGAAGAACCUUACCAGGGUUUGACAUGGGCGUGGUAGCGAACCGAAAGGGAGCGACCCGCAAGAG
rnacentral:rRNA from 1 species